rnacentral:rRNA from 1 species
UACGAAGGGUGCAAGCGUUACUCGGAAUUACUGGCGUAAAGCGCACGUAGGCGGAUAUUAAGUCAGGGUGAAUCCAGAGCUCAACUCUGGAACUGCCCUGGAUACUGGCGGGCUUGAGUCCAGACGAGGUUGGCGGAAUGGAUGCUGUAGCGGUGAAAUGCAUAGAUAGCAUCCAGAACCCCGAUUGCGUAGCAGCUGACUAGGCUGGUACUGACACUGAGGCACGGAAAGCGUGGGGAGCGAACAGGA